rnacentral:rRNA from 1 species
CCUACGGGAGGCAGCAGUGAGGAAUAUUGGUCAAUGGGCGCGAGCCUGAACCAGCCAAGUAGCGUGAAGGAUGACUGCCCUACGGGUUGUAAACUUCUUUUAUCAAGGAAUAAAGUGAGGCACGUGUGCCUUUUUGUAUGUACUUUAUGAAUAAGGAUCGGCUAACUCCGUGCCAGCAGCCGCGGUAAUACGGAGGAUCCGGGCGUUAUCCGGAUUUAUUGGGGUUAAAGGGUGCGUAGGUGGGUUGUUAAGUCAGUUGUGAAAGUUUGGGGCUCAACCGUAAAAUUGCAAUUGUUACUGGCAGUCUUGAGUACAGUUGAGGUAGGCGGAAUUCGUGGUGUAGCGGUGAAAUGCUUAGAUAUCACGGAGAACUCCGAUAGCGAAGGCAGCUGACUAAACUGCCACUGACAUUGAUGCACGAAAGUGUGGGUAUCAAACAGGAUUAGAUACCCGGGUAGUC